CUUGGAAAAAUGCCACACUAGGCAGCAGCUGGUGUGGCAUCGAGUGUGUCAGGGGACUCAGUGCCAUAGGGUCCCCAGCUGUGACAAGGGGACAGGAAAGGAGAAAAGAAGGGCGGGUGCUCGAAGGGACCUCAGUGCCAGCUGGCGAGUCUUGGUGUGCUGGUGGGGCCUGGGCCCUGCUGGCCCCGUGUCCUGCGGGGCCCAGCACUCAGUACACCUGCAGGGGUCCACUCGUCCCAGUAGGGACGUCCCUAGUCCCAAGCCCUGUGAUCCGGGCUCCCCCUCUCCCGCUGGGUCAGGGCCCUGUUUUCAGUUCACCAUGGGGCGUGGUCCCAGGGCUGCUGGUGGUGGCCUGGGUGGUGGCACAACCCCGCUGGAGGCCUGCUGAGGGACUGUGACCAACCCGCAGCGGGGAGCGGGUCUGUGUGCCAGCGCCUGGCUGUGUCCCACCUGGGGAGGGUCCGGGCACGGGUGCCCCAUGUGAGUGCUGGCUUCCAGGUGGGCGUUGGGGCAGGGCCAGGCGGGGUGCCCAUGUGCUGCGCAGGCUGGCGUGUGAGGCCGCACGUCCUUGGGUGACAGCAGCCCUCCGAGCCUCUGCACGUUGGGGCUGGAAGAGUGACAGCAGCGGUGUUUGGGAGGGUCCCAGGGACGCAUGGUGGCCGGGAUUCUGCCUGCUUCCACCCUCUCUCUGGACCUGCUCCGGCUCCGCCCUGACCUGGCUCUGCGGCUUCCUAGCCCAGCUGGACCUGCGUUCUCCAGCCCCAGAACAUUCCAGCCUCGCUCCUUCGGCAGACACCGGAGUGACUUCACUUUCCCGAGCACUGGAUUCCCUGGCCAGUGCUUCUUACCCCAGGACUCGGCUGCCUUGACCGCCACUUGGGUGAGCAGUCAGCCCCCACCCCCCCCAGACAGGCCUUGCCGUGUGCUCCCUGGUACUUCGGAAACGCUGGCGUUGAAGUCUGCCCUGUGCCCGGCGAUUCCUGUCUGUGCCCCUGUGACAUUCGAUCCCCCUGAACAAGUGCUUCGGCUACGGUCUUUCUUGGUCUGAUUCCAGCACGUGGAGCUUUUAACCAUCUUCCCACAUGAACAGCCACCCACAGCUCCCAGAGUGGCUGGUGCUUCCCUGCGGGAAGCCGGAGCACCUCCCUGUGCACAGAGGACCUCCCUGUGCCCCUGCCUUCAGGACCACAACGCUGCCUCCUGUCAAGGAAGGAGUCCCUCUCCCUCGAGCUGGGCUUGACUGUGGUCAGCCUGACUCUGACGGUUCGGCUGGCCUGAGGCUCCACGGUGUGGGGCAGGGCACAGGAAUGAGGGCGGGUCGGGCGCCAGCUCCGCUGCACACUUGGACCUCUCACUAGUGCCACUGGUUUGCUGAAGCCGAUUCACUUCUACACAGAGUGGGACAGGUGCAGUGAGCUCCCUUGACCUGCUCCAAGCAUGGAGAAAGCUCUGGACCUCACAGUGGUCAUGCAGGGGACACUGGACACUUGGGGUCCCCAAAGUGAGGCAGGAGCACCAGCUUCCUGGGCUGUUGCAACAAGCACCCCAAACUGGGGCUCCAAACAGUGGCGAUUCCUGCUCACAGGGGCAGGGGGUGCGGGCAGGGCCGGAGCUCCUGGAGGCCCUAGAGCCUGUCCCUUGUCCGUCUCUUCCUUCUGGUGGCUGCUGACCGGCCUUGCGAUCCCGUAUGCAUCACUGUGACCCCUGCCCACUCUCACGUGCUUCUCCCUGUGUCUGUGUCCUGCCUUCCUCAUCCUGGGACACCAGCGGCUGGACACUGGCCGCAAGGCUGCCUGCAGGACCUCCUCCUAGCCUGACCACAGCCACAGAGGUCUGUUUCCAACAAGCUCACUCUCAAGGGGCCGGGUCAGGGCUUCAGUGCACCUUCUAGGGAGACAUGAUUCAACCAAAACAGAGGGUACACGGAGGCCUGGCGCUGACUGUGGCCGUCACUACGGCUCUGCUCAGAGGCACGUCUUGGAAGUCCCACGGGAGCACACGCAGGGCUGGUUUGAGCAUUGGGUGUCACCAUCCUGGGACAACCCGUGCUGGACUGCUCCUCCUGGGGACGUGGGAGCCCUCCCUGCAGAUAUCAGGCCAGGGCCAGCUGGAGGCUGCCCCUCUGGGGACAGUGUCCUUGGGCCACUGCAGGGACGUCCCUCUGUCACGCUCUUGGUGACCUCUUCUUGGCCAUGUUGCUCCUGGGCCUUGGCUGCUUGUACCUCCUGGACCCCUCCCCAGAGCCCACCACCCCUGGGUCCCCUUCCCACAUUCUGCUCUUGGCCUUCCAGUGUCCUAUGACAGGGACGUCCCUGCAAUUGUUACCACAGUGUCACUUAUUCGGGUUCCUAAGGCGGGUUUCCCCCCAUCCCCACACUCAUUUUGAAUUUCUAAUGCUCUUUUAUUGCAAGCAGCAGACACACCUUCCCUGUGCCCUGGGGCUCCCAGCUCCCUGGUCAGUCCAGGCUGUGGAGUCCACCCUUCAACUCUGGCCUCUUUUUCUUGUGCUGCUGGGGACCAGGGCUGGGAGCGGCGAGCUACGCCCCAGUCGCAGGGUGAAAUCCGCACGUCCAGGCCAUUCUCAGGUCAGCUGGUCUCCGUGUUGUGCUUCGUGCUCUUUAGGUUUUUAAGUCCUGGAAACGUCUCUGGUGACCCAGGCUCCUGCCAGAGGAGACGCAGACCUGCCGGUGUCUGCUUCCAGGGGGCUUCUCCUCGUGGCCUGCUCUGGGCCUCGCUGCUCUGCUCCUGAGCAUGUGGCUUUGACCCUUGAUGGCAUCUCUCCCACUUGUCUCCGGGCCAGAAACACUUUGCUCUAAUAUCUGCAAAAGCAGCUGCGGGAGGACCCUGCUGGGAGCAGUGGGGACGUGCUCCCUGCCCAGCAGAGCCACGGCCCUCUCCUGGGGCGGAUGUGGGGACCGUGUCUUCUCUCCCACUGUUCAUGCAUCUGUGGGUUUUCCAAGGUCAAAUGCAGUUUAACUCCUGUGUGUGCGGGAGAGAUUGAUGGGCGCUGGGCUCUGACCUGCAGCGACUGGCCUCCCGACAGGUUUGACAUCCACCAUUUGGUGUGCUUUUCAAAGGCUCCCACUUUUAAUCGUAGAGCACUGACAAGAGUUUUGGGGGCUUCCUUCUGUUGGGAAAUGUUCAUCCUUGGAAGCAGUGGUGGGGCCUCCCACACGCUGUCAGCGUGAGGAGUGGGGGGCCUGGCUGGUUGCGUGGCUGAUUCGGGGAACAGGGGUUUCCUCCCGCGUCCUGGGAGCCAGCCAGCCGGGUCCAGCAUGCCAGCCCGCGGGAGGGAGGCCGUGGAGGGCGGCCAGCAGGAACCAGCUCCCGGGUGAGUCCAGCUCUGCUCGGCCCAGGCCCAGCUGGCUUCUCUAAGGCCUCGCCUCCGACUUCCUUCAGGAAGAAGGAUCCGCCUCCUCUUGGACUCACAUGCUCACACGGCAACAGGACCAGCCACCUGCGUGGGGAGACGUGGUCCCCACCACCCCCCCCCCCCGCCACCUUCCUUCCAGUGUCCAUCCCAGUCCUGCUGUGGCAAGGACAUGCUGGGCCCCUCAUGGCCAGGGUCAGGGAGGGGUCAGAUAUAAUCCACCUCAGGGAGCUCUGGACGGGUCAGAGGAGGGAAGACGUCCAAGGUCAGCUUGAACGAGCAGCAGUUCACAGGGGACAGGGCACCACUCAUCUCUUGACGUAGGAACUUCCGGCCCAGGGAAUGGCUCAAGCUGCCGGCUCAGGGCAGGAAGUGCAGGCUGGCUCCAUGUUCAAGGACAGCUUCGCCAAGAGCCCAAAGCUGGCCUGAGACAUCCUACGUGCCUGGCCCUGGUUCCUUGAGAUGGCGUGUGGGGACGGGGUGCAGAGCUGGGUGGACUGGGUGCCUUUGGAUUGGAUGGCCACAGAACAUCUGACUCUAAGUGAAGCCCAAGCCUGAGCCUGGCCGAUGGGCAGCCGUGGGGAGAACACUGUGGUCCUCAGAGAUGGCUCGGGCUGGAGAGGAUCUCUAGGGCACCCUGAGCUCUGAAGCACCGCGAUUCUACUUCCAGUGCAAGAGCGGGCCCUCUUACAGCCAGCCAGAGGGGCCUGGAAAUCUGACGUUCCACAGAACUAGCCCGAAGGAAGAAGCAAAACAGAACACCCUCAGCUACUCCCUGUUGGGUUCCGGACUCCACACAGGUGAACAAGCAGCUGGUGCCAGUGUUUGGAGGGAGGCUGGGUGGCAGAGAGGCAGGAAGGGGAGGCCCUGGCAGUGUCCUGAGCGGGAACCGGCAGGUCUGGCUUGGAGAGGUGGAGGCUUGGCCCUCAAGGGCCUGUGCAUGGGCCUCAUGUGCUGGACGAGGCAGGCCCAGCUGACUUGCUGGUGGUGGCCUGAGGUUAAUAGUCAAAGGGGACUGACCUCCCAGUAUCCACCAGGGAGAGCUGGGUGAGCAGUGAAUGUCACUUGGAAACAGAGAGGGGUGGUUUGCAGCUCGGGUGACUGGAAGGAGCCCCGCCCUUCUCUGGAGCUUGCCAUUCCCAGGGGUCCUACAACCUUGGGGUGGAGAAACCCAGGCCAACGGAGCAGCGGUCACCCCGCUGGUGGGUAGAGAGGGAGAGAGACAGCAGGAUGGCUAAGUCCAUGUCUUGAUGGGGGUUUGAGUCACACAGGCAUAUGCACUUGCCAAGACUCAGUGAAUGUGUAAAAUCUGUGCAUUUCUUCACC
rnacentral:lncRNA from 1 species